GGUGCGAUUUUUUUUUCUAACGGUGUCUUCAAUGGGAAAAGAAAAUGAAAUUGAAAUUCGAGUUUCGUUUUGAGCCGGCAAUUAAGUGCCUUGAAUAAAAUGUACUCGACUACUAUGUAUAUAAAGUAACAAUUUUGUUGGUCCCCAGGUGGGUGUUUCAUCAAUAUUGUCGCGCGACAACUGUCAGCGCUGACUAAAAAUUGCAUUUCACGAAACUCUCGGAGCCCCUCUGACUAUUGUCAGAGAAUUUUUAUUUUACAAAUCGACUUGAACGGUUUUCGCUGACUAAUUAGGCCACGCCCACUUCCAAAGUCGGUCGUGAAAAAAGAUGAUUUAGUUCGUUGAUGUUUUCGCCGCUACGAUUCGAAAUGAAAUGAAUAAAUUAGUAGAAGCGAAGGUCCCCGGUGUCGUGAAUGAGGAUUUUACCGAAGUAAAACCCUUCAAAAUGUCGUUCAUAUUGUAUGUAAGGUGAUUGAAUUAUUUGUGGUGCAUAAUUAUCAAAUGAAUUACAAGAAAAGAAAAUCUUCUGGCAGGACCCCUGUUGAUACGAUCGAUAAACUUGACAAUACAUAAUCCAGUCUAGUCCCAUACCCGUGUUUCUGUCUGUAGAACUAUUUCAGGUCCAGACUAACGUUGAUCCGCACAUGGCUGCAAUUUUAUAAAUUUUGCAAAGAGAAUUCUUUAUAUUGUUUUUUCUUUAUGUCAUUCUAUGUUACAAAUCGUGGUUUUUCAUUUCCUUUGGUUUUGCAUUAAUUUUGUCGCUCGGUGUGGUCGGAGAUAUCCUCGAUCACCAGGCAAACCAGCGUGUGCAAUUGUUAAUGUACACUUAUCCAAUGGGGCCAUCCCAAUUUCGUGUUACAGAUAUUGUAAUUGAACAAGAGCUAAAUCACAUGGUAAUAAUGUGGGUGGUAAAUUGGAUGUUCUUAAUUAGCAAGUCACAAGUCAAAUGAAGUGAAGGCUCUCGACAGCAGGCGAGGAUUCUGGGGGGGAUGAUGUGGCGUUCACACCCAAUAAAGAUUAAAAUCUAUAUAUAUAAUUAUACAUGUAGAUCCAAGUUUUAAAUGGUGCACCCGUGGCCGUACUAGUAGUAGUAUAGGACAUAGAUCGAGGCCUAACUUUACUACUGUACUAGAAUAGGCCUAGAUCUAUCUUUAAUUAUCUUUGACUUUGUGCACCCACGUGAAAUGAGCCAUUCCAUAGCUCCCUUUUAAAAAAAAGAUUGUCCAAUUUGGGGGGAGACGAAAUAAUGCUCUUCAUUUGUGUGCGAUAAUGAAGUUUGUUUUGCUUUUUUUUUCUUAGUCAAUUUUUUAGACAAAUUACUAAUUAGCACCCUAUGAAUUUUGACUCUCAAUCUGCAAUAUCAUUGGUGUUGUUUGGGUAAAUAAAUUAAAUUAUUGUUGAUAGUGUCUCUUAAUCUAUUUUUUGAAAAUAUUAUCCAAAAGGGGGGGGGGCAAAUUUUUCGUAGGUAAAUUUUGACAAAUCAAGGAAAUUUCUUACCAAAAAAAAUUGACAACCCCCCCAAAUUUUUUUUUUAAUAUAGAAAAGGUCUGCACUUUUUAAUUUUACUUUUCAAAAAGAGGGGGGGGGGCACAUACCCCCUAGAUCCGUGCCUGGUCAUACCUAACCUUAAAUAGCAUGUAAAAGUUAAAGGUCUCAUCAAGAUCGGUGCCUGGUCAUACCUAACCUUAAAUAGCAUGUAAAAGUUAAAGGUCUCAUCAAGCCCAAGUAUUUUUUUGCCUUGAAUCUCAUAUUAAAGUUCCAUUGAACAAAGGUCAAAGUCCAGAAAUAGUUGACAGUUUGAUGGGGAUGCAAUUAUUUGCUGCAAUUAUGAAUUAGGAGCCUAUUCAUUUUUUAUUAAUUUGAUCAUGGCUUUUUACCAGCAAGGUAUCCAAGCUCUAUUUGGUUAGAAAAUUUUUUUAUUUUAUUUGAAUAAAAAAAUAUUAUUGAAAAAAAUUAUUUGUAUGGUUAAUGUGUUAAUGACUGUCUUGUUUAUAAUUAAGUAAAAAUUAUACGAAUUAACAAGGACAAAUUGUUGACUGAUUGUUGGUAAAUUCUAGAAAUUUCAGGAUAAUAAAAAAAAAAAAAUGAUUGGUAUAUUUGAUCAUUCCCCUUUAUGAAAUGUCAACAAUAUUCAUUGAAAGUGCAAUAUUUUUCCAUGAUCACUGUGUAAAUCUACAUAUUUUCUUUGAUACAUGUAUAUCAAUGUGAUAUUAUCAAUAUUUUAAUUUCAGACUACGGACGUUUGAACAAUAUGCAGAAGAAGACGAGUCUUGAACUAGAAAGCUAGGCUCUGACUGGUCUACUACAGCAAGGAAUGUGCCAGUGGCCAAUCUGAUGAACAUGUGGCAGAAGAUUUGGCAAUGGGUGAAGAAAUACUGAGAUUUAAAUGCAACCACAGGUGGAGGCUUCACCCAAACUUUUCAGACAGACAUGAGAUACAAAGUUACUCAAGUAUAAAUGGUUGAAGGUUUUAGGAGAGCCAGACAAGAAGGCAGGAAAUGUGAUGUCACUUUUACUUUGAUAAACAUGAACAGCAGCAGGAGCAACAACAGCAUCAGCAGCCGAAGGCCACAACUGCAGUAAGAGAUGCAACAACCAAACUGACAACAUCAAGAGCAACAGCAAAAAUAACAAUUGCAGCAGAAAUGCAACAACCACAUUGGCAACAUCAACAGCAGCAGGAGCUCCAACAACCAUGCAGGGAACAUCGGGCGCAACAUAAAUAACUUCAUCAAGAGAUGAAACAACCACACUGGUAAACAGCAACAGCAGUAGCAACAAUGACAGUAGAAACAAAGCCAACAGCAAGGAUUCUAGCAAGCAAUCAUACAGGCAACAACACAAGCGGCAACAUCAAAAAAUGCAUCAGGAGAUGCAACAGCCAUACUCGUAAACAACAGCAGUAGCAGCGAUGACAACAGCAACCACACAGGCAACACCUUGAGCAACAUCAGUAGCAACAAUAACUAAUUGCACCAGGAGAUGCAACAAUCACACCCACAACACCAAUAGCAGCAGCAAAAACAACAGCAAUUCCAGCAACCACAAUGACAACAGCAGCAGCAACACCAACAACAUUAAUGAAAUAUUGAAAAACCUGUACAAAAG